UUGUUGGCUAUUGGCUGUCGGAUGUUGGAUGUCGGGUGGUGGAGCUGUCGUUGCUGUUUCACACUUUAAAUUUCAGUCGUUUGGCUUGUCACUGUUGUUGUUGGUGUUGUAAAUGCUGUCGUGGGCUUUGGCAUAUACCUAAGCGAUGAAUUUAGCACAGCGAAUAUCCAAUCACUUAUCCGAUAAUUGCAACUUUUUAUUUUGUUUUGAUUCGGAAAUAGUACUGAAUUCUGUAUACGAUCGAUUCUACGUUACCGAAGCACCAAGAUUUAUACAUAUACGGCCACAGACUGUUACUUCAGCAGCAUUCCCC